AUAAACUAAGAAAGUAGGAAUUAAAUAUUGAAUGCAAGUUCCUGCAUACGAUCCUGUAAUGCCAACUAAUUUAGAGAGAUCUUUGGUGCUCAUAGCAAUUAAAUAAGGCGGGAGUAUUGCUAAUAUAGGGAAGAUCAAUCUUCGAAGGCAAAAAUUAUAAGACGUAUCAUCGUAUAAAAACAAAGAUUGUAAAUUGUUUCUGAGCGUAAUAGCUAUUAUGGGAAAACUUGUGCUCAGAGUGAAGACUGGAAAAAGUGCCAAAAAAUAUUCGAUUAUAAGCAUAAAGAUGUUCGUGCUUUUAGAACAAUCUCCUGAUCCGCGUGGCCCGAAAUCCAAAGUAUAAAGAUCAUCAAGAUGUUCAAAAGCGAACGCCCCGGUCAGCGCAAGUAAAAGAUAAAAAGAUGCUAUUAAUACAUAAUCCAAUGCAAGAGACCGAUUAAGCAUAGAUUUAUUCGCAAUCGGAGCAACCAAUGCAGGCAAAGAAUGAUGACACAUAAACGAAUAUACGCAAGCACCGAAGAGACUAGGAAUUCCUGAAAUUGAUACAUUAUCGAUUAAUAUAAUUUUUGCACAAUUCGUUUAGUCUUAUAUAUUAAUAUAAUAUUGUUUACUUCUUCGUUUAGUCAUAUAUAUUUAUAUAAUAUUGCUUAUAUCUUAAUAUAGCUUACCUGAUAUAUUUGCAAGCGGUGGAUUGCCUUGCGGGCCAUCGAUAACAAGUUUUCUUACUGCAUAAACAAUCAUGAUAGUAAAUGCGAGCCAUCUCAUUGCCGAAGUUAAUAACUGAAGAUACUUGGUCUUUUGUACAUUAACAAAUACAAAAGGUCCCAGCAUAAAGAUAAAAAUAGUCUAUAAAUAAUAACAACAAAUUCCAUUAGUUCAUAACGCGUAAAUGAUAUCAACGAUAUUACGAUUUUAUAAAAUGAUAACAUACAAGAAAUAUUCUAUAUGCAUCCGAUCGAUCCAAAGCAGAACCUUCCCAACAAACUUCAUUAUCUGGUAUAGUAUCAUUACAUGUUAAGUUCUUCGGUUGAUAGGUACAAGCAACAUCUGCUAUUGAUUUAGCUACAGCCGCACCAUAAAUACUUAAAUCGCCAUAUAAAUAAAUAGCAAGACAUAAAUAAAAUAAGGUGGUGCCAAACUUAUUGAAAAAAAUUGAUGCUAUUUGUCCCAUCUCUAUCUUAUCAUGAAUUAUGUAAUACCGAUAAGUUGUAUCCGAUCGAUCUGGACUGGCUGUAUAAGCAGUAACUAAUGGUGUAUCUUCUGAAUCAGAAUUGGAAGGGCAAGAUUCACCCAAUGUUUGCAUCGCCUAAAAAAGGUUGAAAUAGAAUAUAAAUUUCCAAUAUAUUAAAAAAAAAAACAAUCCAAAAAAACAAAACAAAACAAAACAAAACAAAAAAUAAUAAUAAGAAAAACUAACACGUUUUCGAUGUUGAAUUUGCCUCCAAGUAACUAUUGCAUUGGCAGAUGCCAUUACCUCAAUAACAAAGCUAAUAUCAAAAUAACACUGAAACCAAGAGCCCAUCCUGCUCUACUAAAAACAGCUGGAAGAGUCAAAGCUCCUGUUCCAACGAUAAGAUUGAAGAUGUAUAUCAGACCAACCUAGGAAAAAAGAAAAAAGAAUUCAAUAAGAUUUCGAAAAGAAAGGAUGAAUCAUGCAAUGAAUUAUAUAGUACAGUGCUAAAAGUAACUGCGUUAUUAUUUAAUUGAUAACAGUUUAAUCUACUGUUUACGAACAAAGGUUAUGUAAAACGUAACAUCGAAUCUUAAUGUCAAAGUUAAAUCAUUCGCUUACCAACGUUGAAUAUUGGUCGCUCGAAUUUUGUUCUGGCAUCUUGACCGAACUUGCGUGCAAUAUGAUAGAAUGUGUAUUAAAUUUUUUUUUAUUACAAUCACAUAGAUGUCAUUGACGUUAGACUAUCGUUUUGUAUUUUUCUAACGAUGAUGGUGUACAAGAGCGACUUCACCGAAACCGAUCAUGACUUAGUCAUGUCGAAUUAGUGAAAAUAUCAAAUAUGUAUUAAACGAUAACCUCUUUUUUUUUCAAAGUUAUAUCAAAUUUUUUAUUAUCUUCAUAUCCUUCUCUUCAAACCUUUAUGUUAACCUUUAUGAAAAUAAUGAAACAUCAAUUUCUAAUAACAAAUAAAUUUUGAACGAUUCGAAGAUUUAAUGACAUUUUGACUUGUUAUGACAGAACAAAUACCAUAAAUCGUUUAUUUUUCUUUUUCUUUGUCUUUUUAUUAGAUUCAUAUCGAUUUUUUGGACAAAGCACCUGUCAAAUAAUGUAUAUCUUUUAUCGUUCGUCCUAUGCUGCCACCUAUAAACGUAUAAAUUUUAUAUAUUUUCCCACCUUACCAACAAUUACCAGAGAUACGCCAUCUACCGGAUACGAUACGUCGAAUCAGAUUCACAUCUAUUAGCAAGAUAGACGAUAAUCUAUUUCUAUGAUAAUCUUUUCUCUUAACUGGCUUGAUCGAACGCACAAGUGUUGAUUGACCCUUUCAAAUCAUAAAUUAUGUUUAAUCAAAAUAGGAAGGAAAUAUCGUUCUUUAGGAACUUUUGUUAGAUUAUAAACGAUGUAUUUAUGAUUAGAAAAAAAUAUCAAUAUUAAGUAAAUAAGACAUUAGAUAUAUAUAUAUAUAUAUAUAUACACCUGAAGUCAUUAUUAUUGCAAUUUUUAUAAAUACUUAUCCAGUCCUUUUGAUAUAAUCAAGAGUAUCAUUACAAUUAUUUAGAUCCAUGGCCUCUUGUAAUGACAAUUGAUAAGCGCAGGAUGAUUAAAUGGCUUUACAGGAAUAAUUAGUACACACUCAUACACAUGUAACACGCACACACAAGCGCGUGUAAUCUAACGAAGUUAAUGUAGGUCAGUGUUUAAUAAAGAGAAAAUAAAGAAAUUAAGAGAUAUUAAAUAAUUUGAAAAUGUUCUAUCAUACAUUUACAUAAAAAACUUGUAAAAGAAAGUAAAAAUAUAAAAAAGGAAAAAAAAAAAAAGAAAAAACUGAUAAACGCGUUACAUUAUAGUAUUAUUUAGUAUAAAUUCGUUGUAAUUAUCUGAGAAAAAUGAACAAGUGAAAUUUUAACCUGAAAUUGUAUUUAAGGUACAGAAACAGUCGAUUAUCUCGAUUUGAAUGAAAUAUAUGAUCGGAUUCGCGUUAAAGUUUAGAAAUGAUGAAAAAACUUUGAUAUAAAUGCAUACGUUUAUUAUUGGUACUCAUGCAUUAAAUAUGUCUAAGAUGUUUCUUGUGACGUUACAUAGGUUGUUGAUGUUGUUCUUUGUUAUUAUUGUGAUGAUAACACAGAUCUAAUCGUGCCGGAUAAUCGACGUUUAACUGUAACAAUGCGUAACAAAUCAUUGAAAGAGAGAGAACACACGUAAAGCUUGCUAGACUUGUGCUAAUUAAUAAUUAUAAUAAUCAUAAUAACGAAGAAUAGUUAUUUCAAAUAUUUUCUUUCUUUUUCUCUCUCUAUUAUACAAAACACGAACGCAUCGUCGCGGAAGAAGAUUAACACGGUGCAAGUUGAUUGAAAAUAAUUUUUAUUCGACUGAACAUAUAAACCUAAUUAAAUUCUUAGAGUAAUUUAUAUGUUAAGUAUUAUUUCUUCUUCUUAUCUUUCUUUUUUUUUUGUUUUUCUAUCCUUUUCCUAUUUCUCGUUUUUUUUUCUUUCCUCACCACAAAUCUUACGUUACAAUCAACGACGUCAAACGGUACAAAAGCUACAAUUAUGUAUAAAAAGGAUUCGCGUGAUUCGAUGAGAUUAAUUGAUUAUCAUGAAACCGAAGCAUGGUGAUAAAUUUCGCACGCACAAGUUUCUCUCUAUGCAUCAUCGUAGUGCAAGGUGUGACGACGAAGGUUCUCUUUUCUUUUUCUUUCUUUCUUUCAUAGGGAUGCAUUUCGAUUGAAAGGAUCUGGAUAAUAAUAACUGAUCUUAAAAGACACAAGAGUCCAAGUUGAUCGUGUUUUUAAGAGUUUUAUUUUAUAAUACCAUAAGUCUAAAGUAGUCUUUAAGAUGUAUGUGAAGAGUGUGUGUAUGUGUUUGUGAUUGUAGUAUGCGUAUAGUACGUAUGUAUUCGUAACGUGUGUUCGUCUGUGUCGUGCGUGGUCUUGCACAAGACAAUAGAAAUAAAUUAUAAUACUGUGGCCGCGUAUUAUUAAAAGGGCCGUUCCUUUCGACGACGACAGAUGAGAGAGCCCGUCAGACGUGAUCGAGAGAGAGAGAGAGAGUGAGUGAGUGA